GACGAACGCUGGCGGCGUGCUUAACACAUGCAAGUCGAACGGAAAGGCCCUGCUUUUGUGGGGUGCUCGAGUGGCGAACGGGUGAGUAACACGUGAGUAACCUGCCCUUGACUUUGGGAUAACUUCAGGAAACUGGGGCUAAUACCGGAUAGGAGCUCCUGCUGCAUGGUGGGGGUUGGAAAGUUUCGGCGGUUAGGGAUGGACUGGCGGCUUAUCAGCUUGUUGGUGGGGUAGUGGCUUACCAAGGCUUUGACGGGUAGCCGGCCUGAGAGGGUGACCGGCCACAUUGAGACUGAGAUACGGCCCAGACUCCUACGGGAGGCAGCAGUGGGGAAUAUUGCACAAUGGGCGGAAGCCUGAUGCAGCAACGCCGCGUGCGGGAUGACGGCCUUCGGGUUGUAAACCGCUUUCGCCUGUGACGAAGCGUGAGUGACGGUAAUGGGUAAAGAAGCACCGGCUAACUACGUGC
rnacentral:rRNA from 1 species